UUCCCGGCGCUCUCGUAGCGCGAUCCCCGAACCUUGUCAGGACCGAGAGGUAGCAGCAAUAAGGGGGCCUCGGGCUGUCGGGAGUCUCCCGGGAUGGG
rnacentral:SRP_RNA from 1 species